GGAUGUGUGAGGACAGUUUGUCACCCCAUUGGUCACCAGGGCUGAUCCGGCUGAUCUGGCCGGCUGGGCAGGUGUCCCUCCCGAAGCUUCACUCUCAGUGGAAGAGAACAGAGGACAGCCUUCCCGGAAUAGAGACAGACCAACAGACUGGUCUUCUGUUGAGGGUACAGGAGUAGCUGCAGUCCUCUGCUAGAACCUCCAAACAAGCUCAGUUUUCCUGAAUAAAGUUUAAAAUUCUUGAAAAAUCGUCCUUUCUCCUCAAUUCUUUGUUGGGUUUAUAUGUAACCAACCUAAAAACAUGU
rnacentral:snRNA from 1 species